rnacentral:rRNA from 1 species
AGCAGCCGCGGUAAUUCCAGCUCCAAUAGCGUAUAUUAAAGUUGUUGCAGUUAAAAAGCUCGUAGUUGAAUUUCGGGAUCAAUUAAUUGGUCGUGCCUCUGGUACGUACUGAUUUUUAUUGGUUUCUCCCUUCUGACGAACCAUGAUGUCAUUAAUUUGGUGUCGUGGAGAAUCAGGACUGUUACUUUGAAAAAAUUGAGUGUUUAAAGCAAGCUAACGCUUGAAUACAUUAGCAUGGAAUAAUGAAAUAGGACGUUUGAUCCUAUUUUGUUGGUCUCUAGGAUCGACGUAAUGAUUAAUAGGGAUAGUUGGGGGCAUUAGUAUUCAAUUGUCAGAGGUGAAAUUCUUGGAUUUAUUGAAGACUAACUACUGACGAAAGCAUUUGCCAAGGNUUGUUUCAUUAUCAAAGAACGAAAGUUAGGGAUCGAAGCGAUCAGAUACCGUCGUAGUCUUAACAUAAACUAUCGACCGUAGUAGGGAUCGGAUGUAUAGUUUUAAUUUUUAAUGUACUCUACGUUCG